GUCCAACCAAUGUUCGAUUACUGUGAGUCCAAGAUCAUGUGGGAUACUUGUAUACAAGCUGAUGACGUCGAAUGAUACCAAUAUCGUUUUCUACAAAUAUAAACGAGAAAACGAUAUUGGUAUCAUUCGACGUCAUCAGCUUGUAUACAAGUAUCCCACAUGAUCUUGGACUCACAGCAAACGAACAUUGGUUGGAC